rnacentral:lncRNA from 1 species
UCUCUCUUCAAGAAUAAUGAGAUAAAAAAUAAUUUAAUACUAAAUUAAAAAUUCCAAAAGACUUUCCAAAUAAAAUUCUUCAAAUGAAAUAAUAUUUCUCUCUCUUUAAUGAUGAAGAGAGACCAGAACAAUCAUAUUUAAAGAAUCUCAUUUAAAACUCUUUUUGAUAAUGUGAAUCUUCAUCAAAUGAGAUGAAGAGUCUUUUAACCAUGUUCUCACAUCACUACUUGGCCAAAGGGCACCAAGCAGCCACUAGUCAAUCAUUUUAACUAAAAUUAAAAGAAUACUUAUUAGUUUUUACAAAACACACAUAAGAUGAAAUGAGUUUAAUUUGGCCUCGUGGGUCGAGGUUUGCUUUGACAAGAAAAGGAAAAAGAAAAAGAAAUGAAUGUUGAAAAAGAAAAUCAUCCAUUCAAAUUAAAGAUACGAGGCUCAGCUUUCCUGACUAUGUUUUGGCAGCAGCGAGAGCGUAGAAUGAGCUACCUUAUCUAGAAUCUGAACGGUAGAUUUAUUGCAGAAGCAUGUGAUGCAUCUCUACAGAACAGAAGCAGCACUUUUUCGCUGUAAUGGGCCUAAGGUUGAGCUGUAAAUGUACGUUGCUUAAGUCCUACAACUGCACUAUGUUUCUAGUAACAGAGAUGUUUCUAGUACCAUCUCUGUUACUAGAAAACCACAACCAAAAGCUAGCUAGCUUUAGAAUUAUGACAAGCCCUAAUCGAGGACAACAGAUACAUGAACCAUACGCAACGAAGCCCUGCACAUAUAACUCAAAUUCAAUUCGCACCCUUAAAACGACCGUCAUGUGAUGUGUUAACUGUUCCUUAUCUUGCCACGUGAAAGGUCGACGAAUGCGGACGCCUAGCCAAUGCAAUCAGCGAUGAUGG